rnacentral:rRNA from 1 species
AUUGAACGCUGGCGGCAGGCCUAACCCAUGCAAGUCGAGCGAGCGGCGGACGGGUGAGUAAUGUCUGGGAAACUGCCUGAUGGAGGGGGAUAACUACUGGAAACGGUAGCUAAUACCGCAUACCAUCAGAUGUGCCCAGAUGGGAUUAGCUAGUAGGUGGGGUAAUGGCUCACUUAGGCGACGAUCCCUAACUGGUCUGAGAGUAUGACCAGCCAAACGGGAACUGAGACACGGGCCAGACUCCUACGGGAGGCAGCAGUGGGGAAUAUUGCACAAUGGGCGCAAGCCUGAUGCAGCCAGGCCGCGUGUGUGAAGAAGGCCUUCGGGUUGUAAAGCACUUUCAGCGAGGAGGCGUUACUCGCAGAAGAAGCACCGGCUAACUCCGUGCCAGCAGCCGCGGUAAUUC